GUUGUAGUUCAGUUGGUUAGAACGCCUGAUUGUGGUUCAGGAGGUCGCCGGUUCGAGUCCGGUCUUC
rnacentral:tRNA from 2 species